UACGUAGGGGGCAAGCGUUGUCCGGAAUCAUUGGGCGUAAAGAGCGUGUAGGCGGCCCGGUAAGUCCGCUGUGAAAGUCCAGGGCUCAACCUCGGGCCUGCAGUGGGUACGGGCAGACUAGAGUGCGGUAGGGGAGAUUGGAAUUCCUGGUGUAGCAGUGAAAUGCGUAGAGAUGCGGAGGAACACCGAUGGCGAAGGCAGCCCCCUGGGCCGACAUUGACGCUCAGGCACGAAAGCGUGGGGAGCAAACAGG
rnacentral:rRNA from 1 species